GAUGAACGCUGGCGGCGUGCCUAAUACAUGCCAGUCGAGCGAACAGACGAGGAGCUUGCUCCUCUGACGUUAGCGGCGGACGGGUGAGUAACACGUGGAUAACCUACCUAUAAGACUGGGAUAACUUCGGGAAACCGGAGCUAAUACCGGAUAAUAUAUUGAACCGCAUGGUUCAAUAGUGAAAGACGGUUUUGCUGUCACUUAUAGAUGGAUCCGCGCCGCAUUAGCUAGUUGGUAAGGUAACGGCUUACCAAGGCAACGAUGCGUAGCCGACCUGAGAGGGUGAUCGGCCACACUGGAACUGAGACACGGUCCAGACUCCGACGGGAGGCAGCAGUAGGGAAUCUUCCGCAAUGGGCGAAAGCUUGACGGAGCAACGCCGCGUGAGUGAUGAAGGUCUUCGGAUCGUAAAACUCUGUUAUUAGGGAAGAACAAAUGUGUAAGUAACUAUGCACGUCUUGACGGUACCUAAUCAGAAAGCCACGGCUAACUACGU
rnacentral:rRNA from 1 species